AACGAACGCUGGCGGCAUGCCUAACACAUGCAAGUCGAACGAGACCUUCGGGUCUAGUGGCGCACGGGUGCGUAACGCGUGGGAACCUGCCCUUAGGUUCGGAAUAACUCCCCGAAAGGGGUUCUAAUACCGGAUAAUGUCUUCGGACCAAAGAUUUAUCGCCUUUGGAUGGGCCCGCGUUGGAUUAGCUAGUUGGUAGGGUAAAAGCCUACCAAGGCGACGAUCCAUAGCUGGUCUGAGAGGAUGAUCAGCCACACUGGGACUGAGACACGGCCCAGACUCCUACGGAAGGCAGCAGUGGGGAAUAUUGGACAAUGGGCGAAAGCCUGAUCCAGCAAUGCCGCGUGAGUGAUGAAGGCCUUAGGGUUGUAAAGCUCUUUUACCCGGGAUGAUAAUGACAGUACCGGGAGAAUAAGCUCCGGCUAACUCCGUG
rnacentral:rRNA from 1 species